rnacentral:rRNA from 1 species
UCGAGAAUUUUUCUCAAUGGGCGCAAGCCUGAAGGAGCGACGCCGCGUGGGGGAUGAAGGGUUUCGAUCCGUAAACCCCUGUCAUUUGUGAACAAUGGUUAUUAUUUAAAAGAUGAUGACUUGAUAGUAAUGAAAGAGGAAGGGACGGCUAACUCUGUGCCAGCAGCCGCGGUAAUACAGAGGUCCCGAGCGUUGUUCGGAUUCACUGGGCGUAAAGGGUGCGUAGGUGGCAUGUUAAGUUUGAUGUGAAAGCUCAGGGCUUAACCCUGAAAUGGCAUUGAAUACUAGCGUGCUGGAGGUUUGGAGGGGGGACUGGAAUUCUCGGUGUAGCAGUGAAGUGCGUAGAUAUCGAGAGGAACACCAGUGGCGAAGGCGAGUCCCUGGACAACACCUGACACUGAGGCACGAAAGCCGGGGGAGCAAACAGGAUUAGAUACCCUGGUAGUCCCGGCCCUAAACGGUGCGCAUUUGCUGUAGGAGGAAUCGACCCCUUCUGUGGACG